CAAAAAGUUCGCGUACAUCUAACCAUCAUACUGGCAAUAGACAUCAUGCAUUCAGCCCAAUGACAAAAGAGGUCGCUUCGCUAUUUAGCCCUGUCUUCGUAUAAGUAUAAUAGUCAUGAAUUUUAAAUAUCGAACGGCGAAGCUCAAUUUCGUUCUUGAAACAAAAUAAUUAAAAAUACUUAAAAAAGAUGAAAAAAGGCGGAAUAGAAAACUUUUACUUUAAAUUACGUUUGUUUUUGGGAUUUUUUUAUAAUUACGUGAUAAUAAGGAAAAAAACAUGGGUUCUGCAAGUGAUGAAGAUAUAUUCUGCAUUCCCGAUUCAAUGAAAAUGGAAGCUGAAGCAGCAAUUAACAAUAUUUUGCCUGAAAGUUCUAAAGAGGGAUAUUUGAAAACUUACGACGAGUUCAUGAAAUGGCGAAAAGAAAAACGAGUAAAGUCUUUAUCUGAGACUGUAUUCUUAACAUACUUUAGUGAGUAUCAAAAAAGCUGCAGCCAUCUAGUUUGUGGUGCAUUUAUUCAAUGUUAAAAUUGUUCAUUUAAUCAUCUUUUCUAAAAAGACAAUCAGCUGGGCACAAAAGCAAAAAAUCAAAGGUUUUUACAUCGCAAGACGUGAAACAUUCAUAAAAGAAGCCCCUGAUGACAUAUAUUUAUCUGUUAAGGUGGUUCUUAUCUUCGGUAUAACUGGCGCAUGCCGAGGUAUUGAAUUGACAAAUAUAACAAUAGAAAACAUAGAACAACAGGGACAAUUGUAAGUUAUUAAACUACCCAACACAAAAAGUAAAAUUCACCGAACACUUGUAGUUCCUCAAGAAUUCUCUGAAUUCGUACAAAAAUACAGAAAUCUUCGUCCUGAAAAUGUAAACACCAACCAAUUUCGUUUGAAGUACCAAGGCAAAUGCUACAAACAAGUUAUUGGAAAAAAUACCAUCAGAAGUAUGCUGAAGCAAAUUGCAAGUUAUUUAAAGUAAGCAAACCCAAAUUGUACACAGGUCAUUGCUUCCGGAGAACAUCGGCUACACUUUUAGCUGAUGCUGGGGCUAACUUAACCACUAUAAAAAGGCACGGUGGUUGGAAAUCCAGGAAGGUGGCUGAAGGAUUCAUUGAAGAUUCCAUACAAAAUAAAAGUAAAAUUACCAACCAAAUAACGGAAACUAUUCAGUUUCCAAAAAAAUGAAACAUCUUUCUCAAGAGAUGAUCCGCAGCCAUCAACUUCUGCUGAAGAAAGCUUCAUCCCAUCAGAUUUUGUCCAUUACCAACAAAUAUCACAAUCUCAAACUAUUAACAUACCCAAAAACACCUGUACCUAAAAUUUUAAAAUGGUCUCAUUUCACUAUAAAUUUUAACUAAUACUCGUA